UGAUUUUGGAUCAAAUGCAUUUCAGAAUCUGAAUGAAUGAAGAAUAUGAACAAGGGAUUUCACUGUUUUCUGCUAUCUGGAUUUUCCCAAAGAUCCGCUAAAUCCUAAACUUCAUCUUGGUCUGAAGAAGGGCAAGUCCUCUCUCCAGCUCUUCAUUUGCUGACUCUCACUGAUGCAAGAAGAAUGAAGUCUCUUACCUGCCUUCUCCUAGGACAUCCUGGGAGAAACUGUGACUGCUGGUGAUUUUUGCUGUUAAAAUAGCC
rnacentral:lncRNA from 10 species